AAAUAGCAACUGAUUGCCCUACAAACUAGGACAUUAUUAACAGAACAAGUAAACAACUAAGCAGUAAGUAAGUCUUGAAAAUUCUAAUACUUCAACAACAGGAAGCUUACAACAUCACAUAUAUAUAGAAACUAAGAUAUGCAGCCCAUGACCACAUAUUUUGGUCUUACACAGAGGAACUAUUGGAGAAACUUCAACAUGCAUCGCAUGCAGCCCCACAUCUUGACUUUGCAUCUCAUGCUAUGCGCUUACUUAGAAGAUACGGAAAAUAUAACGUAGUUUUUUCAAAGAUCUUACUGGAAGAGUGUCACUUUCAACAGUAAGUAUGGAACAUGGACAGAUGAUGAUGGAAUGCAGCUCCCUCACCCAAGUAUUCAUUCUGACGAACAAGAAAUCUGAAAUUGAAGAGCGCUGCUGGUAGAGACUUACAGAAUUGUUCUCAAAGAACGAGAAGUUGAAGAGUUGUAUUGCUGUAUGUGAUAUUUCUGAAGGCGUGAGUGGCACAAUUGUGGACGAAUUUGAUGUCUCUAUGGGCUAUUAAUUUAUGAGGUUAUCUAUAACCCGUGGAGAGAAGAUUUUCACAUUCAAUGAUCAUCCUAAGCUCUGCAAGAUCAAUGUUCUUGAUGGGAGAUUAUCGUUCUACAAAUGAUUACACAAAGCAAGAGUAGAAUUUGACAGAGAAGAGCUUGGCUCCAGAGAUGGAAAAGAUUUUAAGCUCUGCAAUUAGCAGGGAUGAAUUGAAGAAUCUAGCUGUGAUGGAUUGAUGAGCUGAUAAACUGAACAGUAUGUGUUAGCUCAAGAUUUUUCAUUUUCAAGUUCAAGUACAGAGUUUUCCAUUAUUCUUUUAUCUCCUAGCAUGGUCAGUGGUUUCCCUUUUCUUUUAGCAAUACUGAAAGUUAGGCAUGCUCUGUUUUUCUUUUAUCUGUUACGCAUCAUCUCUGUUCAUACACUUUAUUUUCAAGGAAUAUCGAGGAUGAAAACUAUGUGAAAAAUGAGGAUAAAAACUAUGUGCAGGGAAACCGUGAGCAGGAAAGUUGUGUCCAAGCUCAAAAUCCACUGGCUACCUGCCAAAUGAUUCAUAUUCAACAUUUAACCGGUUCAGCCGGUUUUCAAUUACAUCCAAUCUCCCUCUCCCUUUUCUUCCUGCACAGUAAAUGGCAAGUCUUCUAGAUGUGAUCGGUAAUAUUGACGGGAACCGGAGGAUUAUCUGGUUAUUAGAUUUAGAUUCUAUAAAGAUUAAUUGAGGUAUGUUUAAGCUGGUCUGAAUAUUUUACAUGAAUAAAUAAAAUAAAUAAAUAGCAAGUCUCCUAUAAGGUUUUUGUCUAUGUUAUAAAGUCUGUUAUUUAAUUUAAUUUUAUCACUGAAAAAAGAAGAGACCAUUACUGGUUGCUUGCAUUUGCAGCCCUAAUCACAUGGUCACUAGCAACCUGGAAGAAUGUCCUGCGUGUAAUUAAAGUCAGACAACACGUUAAUUAGUGUUUUAAUCUAGCUAUUUGACACGUGUUCUACCUAAAUGAGAUAAUUUUUAUCUAUAAAAAAAUUAUAUACACUGAUUUUUUUCAAUGUGUUUUUAUAAUUUAAAAAAAUUAUGUGAAUUGAAAAGCUCGUGUGUAUAUAUAUUUAGAUAAAUUGAGAAUUAUAUAUGUUUAUAAAUAGAAAAAAAAUCAUUAAUAAUUACUAAAAAUAAAAUUGAAAAAAAUCAAGAAACAUUUAUAUAUAAAGAUAUUUAACCUCGCAAGACAAGAUAUUUAUCUGGUUAUGCUUGCUGAAUUUGUUUAUUAAAAUUAAUUUUUUAUUCAAUCAAACGAUGAUAUAAAUAGAUAUACACAUUAAAUUGAUUGAAUAAAAUAAAAUAAAAUAAAAAUUAUGCAAGGCUACACAUAUUAAAAAUAUUAUCUGAAAAUAAAUAUUUUUAUUUUAAAAAUAAAAUUCAUCUAUAUAAAAGAUAAAAAAAAAUUAUAGAUGAAUAAGAAUAUUUUUUUUCCAAAAACUAAAUACACACAACACCAUUAAAAAAAUCUCUAUAAAAAAAGGCUAAAUAAAAAAAAUCACAGAGAAUGGAUAUUAACUGAACUAUAAAUUUAAAAAUUAUUUAAGAAAAAAGAAAUUCAAAGAAGAUAUCAAUUAAAAAAAGCAAAAUUAGAAAAAUAAAAUCUAGAUGUUAUGGCUUAACUCAUCAAACAUAUAUUUCGAGCCAGGACUCAACUGGAUUUAACAAUUGUUUUCUCUUAAAUUUCUAUCUAGCCCCUGAAAAAAGAGCAAAAAAAUAGGUCAUUGCAAGGAAAAGCAAGGGCAUGUGGUGGGCCUUUAAGCCUAAACCCACACGUCUGGGCUUAGUUAUAUUUUUUUUAUUUUUUAAAAGGGAAUGUAAGUUGUCAACCCUUAUUUUUUUAAGGAAAAAACACUCGCUUGUCAAGGCAGAUGAUGUGUCGUCUGCGAGCUCAUAUUUCGGCCAUAACUAUGAUAGCUGGAAAAUCAGGACAACGCCGUUUUUGGUAUAAAAAAAAAGACUCAAUUUUUAAGUCAUUUCAACCCCAAAAUACCUCACCAACAUCCUUAUAACACCCAAAACCAUUAUGUCAACUCCAAAUACCUAAAAAAAAUUGCCCAAGAACCCGAAAUCAAACCGGGUAAGUUUUGGCUUUCUCGGUUUAAAUCUAGUUUUUUAUGCAACAUUGAAACUCCAAACAACCACCAUAAAACUCCUCUCAUCUCUAAGAACUCAUAAAAACCCAUUUUGGUGGGCAAAAAUAGAAUGAACGAUAACUUUUCUCUUAUCACUGAAAUCCAGUAACACAUCUCUCGAAUUAGGGACUGAAAAAUAACGCAAAUAAACUUGUGUAUCUAAAUUGAUUUUUUAAAAUUUCAAGAGGUCUAAAAUGUAUGAAUCAUGUUAUUUUUAAAGAUCGAGGACUUGGGCGCCUUUUUCAUUUAAAUUUCUAUUCUUUUAAUUUCAUCAUUAACUAAAAAACCAAAAGUAAUUAGUUUUCAAUAAGGAUCAAAUUACACAAGAUAAACUUUGAGGAUCAAAAUAAAUUAGUAGAAAAUAAAUAGUAAAUCCACAAUGUUUUGUGAGUGAAUGAACAAUGCCCAGCUACAGUAGAAAGAUAACACGUGUUAGAGUUUCAGAUUUUUUUUUUUAGUUCCAGAUAUUAAUUUGGUUAGUGGUAAAUCUGGACUUUAUUAUAUGUGAUUAAUCACAUCUGUGCACAAUGACAUCGGAUUACCUUUUUUUUUUACAUGUUGCUCAAGCAUCAAGUUACCUUGUGUGGUGGGAGAAAAAAAAAACAAUUUCAAGAAUAUAUACAAGUUAGUAAAUUAAUAGUUAUAGAAUAUCAUGACACGAUAGCUCACAUCAUGAAUAUAUACCAUGUAUGUAUCCCACGUAUUAUGAUAAGCUCACAAUUUUUUUAAAAAGUUUUUUGAUAAUUUUUUUUACCAGGAAAAUAUAUAUAUAUAUAUAUAUAUAUAUAUAUAUAUAUAUAUAUAAGAAAAAGCUAAUUUAACCAUAACUCUUUGUGCUCACAAGUUAUGUUUAACUAGAAAACGGAUAAAAAGAAGGAUCGUUCCAAGAAAUUUGAUGCUAACCCUAGUUUCCAACAUUUCUUGGUCAUGUCUAAACCUUAAAUACACAUUGGUCCAAAAUCUAGGGUGUUUUUUAUAAUAAUAUCUUGGUCCUAGUCCAGAAUUUCAUGUCAAAAGUCAAUGAAACGACCCUGUCUAAUUUCCUAUCGCAAUUAAACAAUAAAUUAAACAAGCACGACUUGUAGACUCCAAGAACAAAAUCAAAGGGCAGCAGAAAAUGUGAAUAAUAAUGAAAAAAAAAUAAAAAAAAAAUGAAAAGCAACAAGAAAGUAAAAAACAAAAACGAAAGGAACCGGAAGUUGCUUAUGGAGAGAGAGAGAGAGAGUUAACGCGGAGUGUACACCAAAAGCAAAAACCCAAAAAGCUUUCCCCCAGUCGCUCUCCUCCUCCUCCUCCUCCACGCGGUAUAUCUCUCACUGUCCCUUCUUUCCUCGAAGAAAAAAGAAACCCUACCUCCCAAUAUUUAUUUACAUAGGAACAAGAAGCCCCAUAGACGAAAAGCAAAAGAGACGUCGAUACAAAGUUCCAGAACCAAAGAAACCAAGAACAUUCAAAGUUGCUAAAGCAGAUGAUGUUGAGAUCGUGUUACAGACCGUUGGAGAGGUGUUUUGGUCGGGUAGCAGGUGGUGGUGGUGAUGGAUUGAUGUGGCAUGCGGAUUUGAAACAACAUGCUUCUGGUGAUUAUUCAAUAGCGGUUGUCCAAGCCAAUUCUAAUUUAGAAGAUCAAAGUCAGGUUUUUACGUCUCCGUCCGCUACUUAUGUUGGUGUUUAUGAUGGUCAUGGUGGUCCUGAAGCUUCCCGGUUUGUUAAUAAACAUAUGUUUCCUUUCAUGCAUAGUGAGAAUUCUCUCCCUCCCUCCGUCUUCCUGUUCAAUUUUCUUUCUUAAUUUUUUUUUAUUAGGAUGUUCUUCUAUGUUGUUUUCUUUUAGUUAGGUGUUUUCUUAUUUUAAUGAUCAUGAUCAUGGUGAUUCUCUUAAACCAUGAAUUUGUUUGUGGCCUUUUGCUUUCUUUAACUUUUAGUCUAGUGGUUAAGGACUCAAGGCUGAGGUCCAUGUUCCAUAGAAAAGAAAAUUGAGUUUUUAUUGAAUGAAUCAUGUAUUAGCUUGUUCUUUAUUUUGUUCUAACUUCCCUUGUGUGUGCGAGUGCGGUAGGAUGUAUUGAUGUCUUUUCUAUUCAAUAGAAUGAAAUUCGAUGUGGGAGGUUUAGGUUUGCUUUUGUGGGAUUAACUGUGUUAGUGGUAGGAUGAUAAGAUGUAGAAAACUGAAGUUUAAAACCUGCAUUAAACUGCUACAGAUAUCUGGUUUUAUUGAAUUGGAGCUUCCUUAUUCUCAUAUUCCCCCAAUUGAAAUAGAAACUAGAGAAUAUGUGAUAAAAAUAGCAAUUUUGACAGCCGAUGGUGUGGACUGAAACGACCUGUAGGCAACAGACUUCUGUCUCUGUAUCAUUUUCUGUCUAAGAUGUUAUCUUUGAUUGCAGAAUUUGCUAAGGAGCAUGGGGGGUUAUCAGCUGAUGUCAUAAAGAAGGCUUUUAAUGCAACUGAAGAGGAAUUUUGCCAUUUAGUGAAGCGAUCAUUACCUUUGAAGCCGCAGAUUGCUUCAGUUGGAUCGUGUUGUUUGGUUGGUGCAAUUUCAAAUGAUGUGUUAUAUGUUGCAAAUCUCGGGGAUUCUAGGGCAGUUCUUGGCCGAAGAGUUGACGAGGAUAAGAAAAAAACAGUAGUGGCAGAAAGGUUAUCGACUGAUCACAACGUUGCUGUUGAAGAGGUGAGAAAGGAGGUUGAGGCACUUCAUCCUGAUGAUUCACAUAUUGUAGUCUAUACUCGUGGAGUUUGGAGAAUUAAGGGCAUAAUCCAGGUACAGUGGCUUCUUGUUGCUAGGCUUGUUUUCUUCUUCUUGUUUUUGCUUGUUAGUUAUGAGAAUUCAGCUUAUUGAGCAUUGUUUGUGUUGGGGAAUAAUACAUUCAUUGAUUGAGGGGCGAAUAUGUUUCUUCCUCUCCUUUUCUUUGAAUGUCUUGCCAGGUUUGUUUUGAGUUAGUUGGAUAACCUUCAUCUUAAAAACACCAUUUGCAGUGUUUGUUUGACAUAAAGUAAUUGAUCUGAGGAUGGAUCAAUUCUAAAGGUAUCCAAUUUUAUGUUUGGUUAUCUUAUCUUUAUCUUUUGCUUUUGCUUUAUGAUAGGCAUCUGUCUAUGGUGGAAACACUAUAGUUAAAGUUGGUCAGAGGGUUAGGUUCAUGCUCUUCCAGGAAUCUUAUUCUCUGUCUCCUGGUCUACCAUUUCAUGCAAUCAAGUGAAACAGUAUAGUCUUCCAUGCAUGAGAUGUACAUGAAAACCCCCGAGGCCUAACAAGAAUGCUUAUGUAAUUACAGGGAGUCUUGAUCCUCUCUCUGUUUUUUUUUCCUUUUCCUUUUUGUUUUUUCCAUUUAACUUUUCUAGACACUAGGAACAUCAUACUGUGAUCUUCUGAUUAAUGAACUGAAACAUUGUCUUCUGUUGUUACUCGACUCCCUGAAGUUGUGGAGCUGAUCACUAACUUACUCCACUAACUUAACGCAUGUGGUAGAUGAGGGUGGAAUAAACCUUUCCUGUUCCUUUUUGUCCUUUUCAGGUAUCCAGAUCCAUUGGUGAUGUGUAUCUGAAGAAACCAGAGUUUAACAGGGACCCAAUUUAUCAGCAGUUUGGUAACCCUAUUCCUUUGAAACGGCCAGUAAUGACAGCAGAACCUUCCAUUGUUUUUAGAAAGUUGAGGUCAGAAGACUUGUUCCUGAUAUUUGCUUCAGAUGGUCUCUGGGAACAAUUAACCGACGAAGCAGCUGUAGAGAUUGUUUUCAAGAACCCUAGAGCUGUGAGUGCUGUCUUUGACUUGCAUGUUUUGCGUACUUUUUGUUGCAACUCUCAUCGAUAGCUUAGAUCUCAGUCCUAAUUUAUACCUUGAGAGGCAAGUUUUAGCUACAAUGGGAUCAUUGGGAAUGAAAUAAUUGAAUUCCUUUUUCACAUCACAAGCCUGGUUGAGCCCAUGAAAAUGCAGUAGCGCUGUUAAAUCUACCCCUAGCUUCCAGACGUACCAUAUUCUUGUUGAACAUGGACAUACUUUUAGAAAUAGGAUAUUCCAGACUUCUGAAAUUUUAAGCAAAUGCAUUGACAAACAAACUAGAUGUCAUCAAUGUUCAAUUGUAUAGAGUUAUUUAUGCCAGUCCAGAUUUUGCUGUUUGCUUGACGAUCCUAUGGGCUGUUUGAUACCUGCAGGGGAUUGCCAAGAGAUUGGUUAGAGCUGCUAUUCAGGAAGCUGCAAAGAAAAGAGAGAUGAGAUAUAAUGACAUUAAGAAAAUUGAAAAGGGAAUACGAAGGCAUUUUCAUGAUGACAUCACUGUGAUUGUAAUUUACCUUGAUCACCAAAAAGGUUCUUCCAAUGGUAGAUUAAAGAACAAUGCCAUUGGCUGCACCAGCGCUCCAGUCGACAUUUUCUCCCGUGACGCAGAUCAAGCGGAGGCAGACAUGCUUCAAACAAUUUCUUGAACAAAGAAAAAGAAAAAACCCUCUGAAGGGUCAACACUGACGUCUUGAUUUCUUCAAGGUAAAUUGAGAUGGGUAUAGUAUGCAUAUGGAUGGUGCACACAAGGAAUUCAAAGUAGAAAAUACAUUUAUGUGGAUAAGGUUAUCAAUGGAUAGCGGGUUCUGGGUAUAUACUCUUGCAAGUGAAGAUCUAACUAUACUUUCUUUCGUUCUAUUACGGAUUGGAUAACUUCUCAGAGAUUGUAGCACUGAUUUUGUGCCUUUUUUGUUCCAAAUUUUAGAAAUUACAAGUCUUGAUUGAUUGAUCAUUGCCCCAUUACGAAGUUUGUUCAAGGUAUUUUAACAGUUUUAUGUGGUAACUCGCACUACUUAACAGGGUACAGAAGCAGUGGAAUGCGUGAUUAGCCGAUUCCUGUUUCCUAGGAUCCCUGCACUAAUUAACAUAUAUUAUAACUUUUUUUAAAAAAAGAAAGAAAUGUAUGUAGAAGAACACAUCUCAUCAGCAGAAGACUCCUCUAAGCAAAGUAACAGUCAAAGUUAAUGUUCUCUUUAAAGUCCUUGGUAAAUGAGUAAUGAAACUUGAUGGGCAUGCAUGUGCACUUCAUGUACCAGCAUGUGAGAGCUAUCCACCAUGAGCAAGCAACUCGUGUGGUGAAUUUCAGUGGCCUAACAUUAUCGUUCGCCAUUGAAUUGGAUUCCUUGUGGCGAGAGCUUCUCGUUGAGAGGGCGCGUGUGCCGUUGGGAAGCAUUUGGCAGCCAAUUUUUCUUUUUCUCCUCCCUCUUUUCUCUCUCAUCUCCGUAAAAUUCACGCUAUUCUGCCAUUAAUAGAAAGUGUUUUGCCAUUUUAAUUUUGUUUCAAAUUUUAUCAUCAGAUCUCUAUCUUUUUGCUUUUGAAUUAUUUUUUGAAUUGAUUUUAUUUUUUAAUUUUUUCCUUGAUUAUUUGUUUUGAUUUAGCUCUUAUAUUAAAUCUUAUCAUUUUUUUUUAUUGCUCUUUGUUUUAUAUCAUUUUCUUAGUUGAUUUUUUUAUUUCAUUUAUUAUUUAGAUUUUUUUUUAUUUAGAUUUUUUUUAUGAUUGUUAUUUAUUUUAUUUUAAAUUAUUUUGUUAUUAAUUAUUUUUUUCAAUUUCAUCACUCAACAUUUAGUUGAUUGAGAUUUUAGUUUUGUGAUUUUUUUGAAUCUAUCUUCUAUGAAGUAAUCCCAACCUUUUAACCGAGGUCAAGAGUUUGGAAGAUUAGCCCUUCAGUAUUUUUUUAGGUUCUUUUGUUAAAAUUAAUUUUUUUUUCAAUUUUAUAUUUCAACAUUUUGUUAAUUGGGGGUUUGACUUCGUGAUCUUUUUUAUAUUUUCUAUGAAAUUAUUUCAAUGUCAUGCAAGGUUUUUUUUCAUUGUUUUAUUUUAAUUGAUUUUUUUUUAAUUUUUCACUUCAGCAUUGAGUUGAUUUGAGAAUUGAGCUUUGAAGUUUUAUUUAAUUUGGUUUUUUACGGGGUUAUCUUGAUCUCACAAUUAGAUCAAAGAUUUGGCUAGCUAACUCGGGUGGACUCGGGUCAGGAUUUUUUGUUCUUUUUAAAAAUUAUUUUUUUUUAAUUUCACAUUUUAACAUUUUAUUUACUUGGAAUUGAGUUUCAGAUUCUUUUUUUUAUAUUUUUUAUAUGGGAUUAUUAUGUUCUUUUUUAUUUUAUUUUUUGUUACCAGAUAAAAUCAUGAAAAUCUUUUAAAAAUAUUGAAAGAAUAUAUUUUCAUAAUAUUGACAAGUAUUUUUUUUUUUUAGUUAAUCAUUGUUAUUUUUUUUAUUUAACCUGGUUUACAAUUUAUUUAUUGUCACUGUUUUUUUAAUUAUUUUAUUAAAUUAAUCAAGCUAACCCAAUUGAAUCAAUGAAUAAAUCUUGAUUUUUUAUUGUUUCUUUAAAAAUACUUCUGUCACCUAACCAUCAAUUUUUUUAAAAACAUUGAUUAGAAUUUAACUUGGCCGGUGACAUAGCCAACAUCAAUCUACUUCAUUGUUAUUCAUGUUACCAAGAAAGACAAGCGCUCUCUCUCUCUCUCUCUCUCUCUCUCUCUCUCUCUCUCUCUCUCUCUCUCUCUGUGGGCUACUUACUUUUUUUCUAGUGUGCCAAUGGCAAAUACAAUAUCUAUAUAUUAAAAAACCCGGCCCAGUCGAAAUCCAUUUUUUUAUAUAUAUUUUAUGCUUUAUGCAUAGAAAAGCACAGUAGGAAAGGAAAUAUGGUUUUGACAACCACUCUGUUUUUGGCACUGUGGCCAUUGUUUAAGCCAGUCAUUAUGCAAGUUGUUUGAAGUGGAAAUGGAUCCUACAAGAUCUUGCUCCUCGUAAGGAUGACUGUAAGCACUUCUCAUUGAUAAGACACGUCCCAUAAUUUCCAAGACAGGCACUUACAAGUUUUUCGUCGUUAACAAGGUUUCCAUGAUCAUUCUUGAGGAUAGAACAGUACAAACUACAGAGGACCACUGAAACACACUGUUGGCAUUCAUGUUUCUGAAUUAGGUUAUAACUGUGCUUCACAAAACCAACAAAUGGAAUUUAAACGCCACAUCAUCGUGACCUGUAGGCAUAGCUUUUCAUCAAUUCAGCAUUUAUAUAUAGUUAUACUCUUUGUUACACCUGCUAUAUACACACUGCACAAACAUCUAGCUACUUUCAGUAUAUAUCCCAGAAGCCAGAACUUUCCGAAAUCACGCAUCAUCAGCUAAUAAAUGGCCAAUUAGCAGCUCUCCUGGCCAAACCGUUCACUCUUCUUUCUUUACCACGUAGCUCGAUGCUCAAGAACCUAACAACAUUACAUGGAAAAUCACAUCUUAUCAAUGAAAAUUGUCAAAAUAAAUAACACCAACUCAGGGAAAGGGUAAGACAGGUGUAGGCCAAAAAAUGCUUUGACAAGGAGAUUCAGAACUAAGUUCAACUAACAAAAGAAUACAUAUAAUAUUUGUGGCCCAUAAGAACAAAACAACGGCAGAUAUCCCAAUUCCGUAUUUUCAGAGGGACUAUUUUCUUCUUGAGUAAAUAUAAUAAAAAAAAAUGCCAUCUUCUUGUAUAUUAAGAGCAUCAAAUUAUUAAUCACAAUGACGAGAAGUUGCGGAUAAAAUUUUCGUUUUCAUAACCACCAAAUGUUAAUAACACAAAAUGGUUCAUAUUUGAUAGAUGUAUACAUACCUUGAAGUCAGUAACUCCGCCUUACCCUUCUUUUCAUGUCUUGUCCGGAUCCAUGCUCAGCCCUCCAAAUGGAUGUGUUCAUGAGUACUUGCAUAUCUUCAACCUCCAAGAGACAUUGGGAAGCUUUUACAAGAUCAUUCAUAUCAACCAUAUCUCCAUGCCUAAUCAAAACAUGAGACAGAUAAGAAGAGGAUUGCCUAUGACCACUUGGUUAAACGUUCUGAUAACCUGCACUUUUCCUCCCUGGAAAUAUGUGGAUCAAGCUCGUGAAGACUGCUUAUGAACAUGAUUGCAUCAUCCCGAUGGUUAUGUUUACAGUAUCCAUCGACAACUGAGUUAUAUGUAUUUUGGUUCGGUUUACAGCCAUGCUUGAUCAUGUAUCGCACAACAUCAAUAGCGUCCUCAAACAUUGAAUCAGCUGCAUAACUUGCAACAAAAGUAUUAUAAGUGAUUACAUCUGGAACAAGCCCAGAUUCCCUCAUUUCUGAGAAUAUCCGUGAAGCCUCUUUCAUCCUCCCAUUUCGACAAUAUGCAAAAAUUACGGUGUUGUAAGAAAUUGUAUCUGGUUUUAUUCCCUUUGCUAGGAUUUCUUUCAAAACUUCUUCUGAUCUCUCAAAAUUCUCUGAUCGGCUGUGCAUAUACAUCAAACUAUUGUAAGUUGCCAAGCUAGGAGUGAAUCCACUCUCAUUCAUGAAGUUCAAGAUCUCAUUUGUUUUGGUAAACAUCUGCCUCCUGCCAUAUAUAGAAAUCAUGGCAUUCAGAGUACUCAAGUCAGGUGAAAAACCUUUUCUCUUCAACUCCAGGAAUGCAACCUCAGCUUCUACCAGUAGGUCACAUUUACUAUUAACUAAAACAAGGGUCUUCAAGAGUACGGCAUGGGGUUCAAUUACACCAGAGCAUAUCUCCUCCGCAAGAGCAAGCAUCCGCCCAAUCUCCUUGCCAUUGGCAUAAGCAUGAAGCAAAGAACAGUAUGUCAGCUCAUUGGGCUUGCACCGACCAUCUUUCAUUUCAGCGAAUAUUUUCUCUGACUGUUCCCAGAGCCCUCCUCGAGCUAAUGCUGCCAAAACAGCAUUAUAGGUGGAAAGAUCAGGUGUAAUCCCAGCUUCCAGCAUUCUCUUGUAUACAUCCAUGGCUUGGUCAAAUGAUCCACACCGGCUGUACGAGCUGAUUAGGGUGUUGUAAGUGUCCCUCUCAGGUACAAAGCCAGCCCUCUUCAUCUCCUUGAAAACUCCAGACACUUCUGAGUCCAUCCCAUUUUGCCCAAACACUGCUAAAAGGGUAUUCCAAGUAACAAUAUCCGGUACGCAACAGGAAUUUUUUAUCUCCUCAAAAACCUUCAUCAUUUCUGCAAACUUUCCCCUGUUACCAUGCAUCUUAAUCAAGGCAUUGAAAGUACAAAUAUUAGGUUUGCAACCCGCUGCUCUCAUUUCAGCAAAAACCCUCAUUGCAGACUCGUCCUUACCAGCCCUCACAAAUCCUGACAAAAGCGUAGUGUAAGUAAAAACAUCCAGGUUAAUCCCACCUUCAACCAUCUGGUUUUUAAGCUCCAUUGCUUCUUUCAACAGACCAUCUCUUGCAUAGGCAGAUAUCAAGGAAUUGUAAGUCACAAUGCUUGGUGAACAUCCAUUAACCUCCAUUUCUCUUAAUACCUCCAUGGCCUCCUUAGUCCGCCUUGACUUCCCAUAAACAUCCAAUAACGCAUUAUAAGUGACCUUGUCAGGCACAAAACCCAUCGAUUUCAUAUCCUUGAAAACCGCAGCAGCUUCUUCAUGCAAAGAUCCUCGUCUACAACAAGUUAUAAGCGUAUUAUAUGUAUACUCAUCUGGCAAAACUCCAGCAUUCUUCAUUCCCUCAAACAGACCUUUAAUCUUAUUCCAAGGCAUGCCCAUUUUCCCAUACACAUUCAAAAUCACAUUAUAAGUAAUCAAAGUUGGUUUGCAACCUUCUUCCUCCAUCUUCUUAAACACCAUCACAGCUUCCCUAUACCUUCCAUUACUAACACAAGCAGUGAUUAAAGAUGUAUAAGCAUAAACAUCAAGUCCAAACCCAUCUUUAUGCAAAUCAUUCAACAAAGAUGCUGCCACUGAAACUUUUCCUUCUUUACCAAGCAUGCUAAUAAUCACAGCCACAGCUGAAUUACUCAAAACAGAUCCACAAUCAUUCCUAUUCUUAAACCACUCAAACACACUCAUUGCCAGGUCACGUUUUUUAUAAAACCCUAAACCCUUAAUAACACCCAAAACAUCAUUACUUAACCCCUCCUUGCCACCGCUACUUAAACUCAACUCUUCUUUAUGGUAAUCAAGUAAAAGACUCAAGAUCUUAUCUAAUUCACUGCUUUCAAAAGAUGGGUCAUUUAAGGAAUCUAGAACUCGCUGACCUUGAAGGGAGAGGCGAUGGUGGGUCCAGGGUUUGCCACGGUUGCUGUCACGGGCCUUGCCAAUUCGGGUUCGGGCUCUUGGGAUGGGAAAUGGGUCAGGUUGGGUUUGUGAGGUGAUGGGUUUGGAAGGAUCAGAGCUUUGCUUAAAAAGGAAGUCCUGCAUAAGCGAUGUGCCAUGCUGAGGUGGUGGUGAAGUGGGCGUUGUUGGUUUUAGCUGUUGAUGGUGGACGUGAGUUUGGAUAGGGAGUGAGGGUUUUGUUGGAGGUGGGUUCGAGAGGAGAAGAGGCAGAGAUAGUUUCUCUGUCAUUUUUAGAGUGAGAGGGGGUUGGGUGAGUUUCAAGGAUUAUAAGUUGGUUUUUUUCGUUGAGUUUGUGUGGUGUUUCGACUUGAUGGCAAGAUUUUUUUGUGCGGUCUUUUGACUGGAGGAGCAUGUUGAGAUACUCAAGGCGAUUACCUCUCUCAAUGUAGUGGAGGUUUGCAAGGUAGCAGACAAGAAUAUCUCCCAAAAAGCUAGCUUGCCAUGUCAGCAAGAGUUGACUAUCUGAUUUGGAGGAGAGAAAAAAUUAGCAGAGAGCAGAAUCACUUUAAGAACACUUAUCCUAAUCUUAAAUUUGAACAAAGAAAUUCUCAAUUCAUAUCUCAACACGGGCACUCAUGUUCUCGAAUUUCAGAAAUUUUGAAGAGUCUAAACCUAAACAUCACGAUGGGAAUUUCUCUAAGCUGUUCGGACUCGAGAUUCAGAGGAAAGCAUUUCACGCAUGGACUACCACACAGAAGUUUGAGUUCAAGUCUCUCUCCAAUCUUGUGCGAGAUAUAUAUUAAAACUCGUGGGAAAAACAUCGUAUAUUUACUGUAAAUAUAGAUUCAUUACACUUUGGUGUAACUAUAGACUAUUUGUAUUGUGGACGAUAAGACAACAUUAUAACUAUAAACUGUUUGUACUGUGUACGACACUGUAAUACUUGUGAGAAGCGUUGUCUUUGCUGUGUUUAGUCAAAGAUUGUUACUAGGAGUGUUGUUUUUUCUGUUUUAUGCCAAAAGUUGUUGAAGCUAGCCUGAUAGCAAGAUUUAAUAUUAUUGGGUCUGACUUGAAACACAAACUCAAAUCGCUUCUAAAAGGUUUCAAUAGCGUUGGGUCUUACUGUCUAGUAGAACCCAAUAGCGUUUGGUACAGAUAUUUCCAUUUUUUUUUUCUCUUUAUAUUUUUUUUUCCUUUCUUCCUACCGAAAACAGGCAUGGGAGUAGUAAGAAAGAGUGUCUGCUAUGACUAUGGCUGGAAAUCAAACUCUUCCCUUUCAAUUCAGGCCGGUUCAUUCAUUAGAAAAACCGAUUCUUGACCUCCUAUGACUUCAUUCAUGUCAAUCGAAUCAGAGAAGCUUUUAGAGAAGGGGCAGGGGCUAAUCUUCCCUUUUCUGUUAGGUGGAAAGAAAAAGACAGAUGAAGGAGAAGCGGUUUAGCCAACGAGAGGAGGGAGCUUUCUAAGCAACUCAGCCACGAUGAGCCGAGUACCAAACCUUUUCUUACCAUUCACUUAAAAAACUUAUCUAAGCACUUGAUCGAGGAGAGUUACGGGGGAAAAAGGCAUUAGACUAUGUUUUACGGUAAAGAGGAAAUUUGAGUCCUACCCCUAGAAAAACCCAAAAUAGCUUUGGGUUCAAUUACAUAGCAGGACCCAUAGCUUUGGGUCUAGCCUCAGCUAGACCUAUUGACGCCAGUUCUUGCCUCAACAUUACUAAUCAGUGCUGGAUCCUGCUCCCAGCAAGACCCCAUAGCUUUGGAUCCAGACCUAUUAGAGUUAGAUCCUGACAUAUUAGAGUUGAGUCCUGCCUCUAGCAAGACCCAAAAUAGCUUGGGGUUUGGCCUCAGCUGAACCCAUCAACGUCAGAUCCUGCCCCCAGCAGGACCCAUCAGCGUCGGGUCUUGCCCUAGCAUUACCAAUCAACGUCGAGUCCUGCCCCCAGCAUGACCCAAAAUAGUUUUAGGUUCGGCUGCACAACAAGACCCAUUAGCUCUGGGUUUGGCCUUAGCAAGACCCAUCAGCGUCGGGUCCUGCCCAGCAUUACCAAUCAAUGCCGGGUCCUGCUCCCGGCAGGACCACAUAGCUUUGAAUUUGGACCUAUUAGAGUAGGGUUCUGCCCUUUCAGGACCUAAAAUAGCUUUGGGUUCAGUUGCCUAGCAGAACCCAAUAGCGUUGGGUCCGGCUCCCUACCAUGACCUAAUAGCGUUGGGUCUGACCUCAGCUGGACCCAAUUGGGUGCCUACCAAUAGGACCCAACACUUUAAAUUGUUUUUCUUUUCUAUUAUGUUUUUUUUCAUAUGAUAAAGAGAAAAUAAAUUGAUGAGAGUUUUUUUUAUAUUGUACAAAAGUUGGGUGAUGAUAAUUUUUUUUUCAUUUGAGGUUGGGUUGAAAUGUUUGUUUUUGCUUUUCGAAAAUGCUUUAAAAAAAUUGAGAAUUUUUUAUUUUUUUUCUUUAAUUCAAAUUAAUAUUUUUAAUAUUUUUGUAUUAUUUUGAUGUGAUAAUAUAAAAAAUCAAUUUUAAUUUUUUUUCUCUUAUUAAAUUUUUUUUUUAUACGAUAAAUUAAAAAUAAAUUGAUAAGAUUUUCUAUAUAUUCUACAAAAGUUAAGUGAUGAUAAUUUUUUUCAUUUAUCAGGUUGAAUUUUCUUAUUAAAACAUUUAUUUUUACAUUUCAAAAAUACUUUUUAAAAAUUUAAAAUUUUUUAUUUUUUUCUUUAAUUCAAAUUAAUAUUUUCUUUUCUUAUAAAUUUUUUUCUUUUUUUUUUGUAAUUUUUUUUCAUACAAUAAAGAGAAAAUAAAUUGAUAAAACGUUUUUUAUAUUAUACAAAAAUUAGAUGAUUUAUCUUUGUAUUUCAAAAAUACUAGCACAUUAACCAUGGUGACAAAUGUAGUAUAUGCACAAUUUAUUUCAAUAAAAAAUAAGGAACUCUAAGGAGGAAAUCCCGAGUCCAGAGGACUUGCAUGAGACGCUUGAUAAUUCGAGGUAAGUUCUUCAGCUUGUAGAUAAGAACUACCUAAAUGAAUAACAGGAGCCAGUUUUACGCAUGCAAAGAAAAUAUAUAGCCAGAACCACAGCUGCUGCAUCCAUGAUUCAACCUAAAUUAAGAUUCAUCAACAUAAGCAUAAACUGCAGACAGCAAUAUCAUCUUGAAAAUCCUACUAUUUAGGGGAUCCAUAAGCAAAAUCCUUAACAAGGCUAGUUCUGUAAGCAAGUACUAAAUUGAACUAAAAACAGAAAUUGCCGACAGCAGCAGGCAUAAUUUUGGCUAUUAUCAUCAACAAAAAAGAUAGCCCUGCCACAGGAAGGAAAGAUGACCCACGAAGACUGGAGUUCAUCCCCUUGAACUUCAUUUGAGGAAGUGAGGACUAAUCAACCCAGCAAUCUCAAGAAAUCCGACCUGGUCUCUACCAGGAAAUAUCUUCUUCAACUUCUCGUCGCAAAUUAUGUUCUUCUUGUUACUAGGGUCCUAAAAACGUUGCAGCAAGUCCAGUCAGCUCCAAAUUUAUGAUAUAGUCAUAUAUGCAUGCAUUAUAGAUGUUCUAUGCAAUGGCUCAGAAGCAGCUAGAAGAAGAGACACCAAGUCAUGUUUUUCUUUCAACCAAAUUAUUCAUCCGGAAGUUAACCAUUAUAGUGAAGGGCAAUAGCUGCUUGGAAAUAACAUGCCAACAACCAUUCCCCGCGUUGGCAUCAUGAUUUUAUCACCACUGCCUGGCAUUUUCACAUUAGUAAAAUCUAGUGACUUCUAAUUCAGCCACAUACAUAACAUGCUGCGUGUGGCUGAAUCAACAAAGUACUACAUCCCACAUUCAUGUACUAUAGACUUGAAAUUAUUCGGAGUCAUUUCUCAAACUUGACGCUAUCUACAAAAUCAUGUCUCAACCCAAAUUCAUGCGAUAAAAUCCGUCCCUAACAUGAGAGAUGCCCUGUCCAUACAUCAUUGUAUUCAAUAAUAAUCAUCAGGCCAUGUGAGUAACUCAACUCAACAUGAGAAAAAACCUCACUAAGAUAUUACUCAACUCGAGAUACAACAGCAGAUAAGCCUAGUCAGCAUAGAAAGAGAUUUCAACAACAAGUAGAUCCAAAAACACAUGACAUGUAAGAGCAACAAAAACACUCAAGCAAUCACGCUAUGUCCCCGUCUUUUUUCAAACCAAGACACCCUAUAAAAAAUAUAAGGCCAAUCUAAAGUCUAAACAUUCAAUGUAUCCGAGUCUACUCGGAUAUAGCACACUCAACAAAACAUCAUGGAUCCUGAAAAUCAUAGAUGAGGCAUAAAAGAUAGCAAACAAACAUUACCCAAAAGCCCAAAAUAAUUCAGCAGCCAAACAGGCCAAUAGCAUCAUCCAAAACCACAAACGAAACAAAGCACAAAACGGAACUGGAACAUUUCCCUGACACCGCCACAACCUUAUCCACAAACAUGACACAUCUCCAGCUAAUUAAUUAAAUAAUCAACAAUAUAAAAACCCAUGAACAAACACAACCCACAUUUUACCGUCUCAACACAACCUUAUCCAAACAUUUAAUUAAAAAUUAAGCACGAAAAAUAAUACGAACCCAAAAUUUUAAAUAAAAAUGCCGAAUUUUAAUCAAAAUAUACCUGAAGAUUGCGCUCCUUUAUAUGGGCCCAGAUAAGCUUGAGAACCUGGGUGCGAGAGACCUCAGGAGCGCCAACAAAGUCUGCCAUUUCAGGUGAGACUCGCUUCGGCUUCAUUAUGCCGCUGGGAGCGCGGUUGCCAGUCGACGCCGUAGCGCAGGUAACAACAGUACGCCCCAUGCGCAGGUUAACAGGACGCGCAGCCAGAAUCCUGAGAGAAGGAGAGGAUGUAUGAAAUGGAGGCUUGAGAAGCGGCACCGUUUCGGUGGAUAGGAAAGGAAAGCAAGUCCUUGAAGAAAUUUCCAUUUGAAAAAAAAAAAUUGGAGAUGCUUAGGUUUCUGAGAGAGUAGAGGGCUUUGAGUUAUCUUGAUUUUUUUUUCUCGUUCUUUUUCAGCUUCUAAUUUUGGUGUUUUGAUAGAAUAUGAAGGGAGAUAAGGGUUUGUGUGUGUGAGUGAGUGAGUGAGUGAGUGGGAGACAGAAUUUGGCUGAUCCCGCCUUAUUCAUGACGUAGACAGUGUUUAUUUCUUACGUCGAAAAAAUUUAAAUUGUUUUUUAAAUUAAUUGUUUUUGUCUUUAAAUUAUUUUAAAAUAAUAAGGUUGAGAAUACAUUUUAAAAAAUAUAAAAAAAAUCAAUUAAAAUAAAAAAUAUUUUAAAAAACAACCAUUAUUAUAAUUUCAAAUAUUUAUUACUUUAUUUUUUAAUUUUUUCAGGAUUGUUAAAAUGACUUACAUGCCCUCUAUUAGGCAGGUACUGUAGGGGAUAUCAUGUGAUUUUUGUUGGGUUAAGAGUGUCCAAGUGUGAUGACGUGACAGACAUCCUCAAGAAAUCUGGGCCGUAGGAGGAUGGAGUUGGGCAUAUAAAUCCAGUUCGGCUCCUAAGAAUUUGAAAAAGAAGCAAGCCCAUAAAUGCAAGUUGGGCUUACGCAACAGACAAGUUGACAAGAAGCUGAGGACUUUUUCUAUUUUCUCUUGGGGUUUUUUUCAAGGCAAAGACAGAGAUGUUGAUGGACACCUCGGACCCAAUAUCACUGUACAUCCAUAAGCUUACCCAAAUACAAAUAACCCUAACUGACCUAAUAUGACUACAAGCCCAGAUUUGGACUUAGAGGCUUCUUGGUGGCCCAACAGCCCAAAGACAUGCGCUCAUGAUUCAGGCUUAGGGCCCAUACCCUGGAGGCAUAAGCCCAUGAGGUGGCCUUGGGGUUCUCCGAUGGUCUGUUAUGUUCUCCGACCGGUGAAAGCCAACCGGGAUCAUGUAUCGAGUCACGUUUUAGCCAAAUUGAUCAUAAUUAAAACACGCAGUACAGAUUAAGUUGCUGUUGAAACACAUUAUUAUAAAGCUAGCCUUCGAUUAAUUAAUUAAGAGGUAGGAAGGAGGUCAAUUUAAACACAAGGAAAGGAAACAAAUGGGCCAACAAGAGGAGGAUAGCACGUUACCAUCAUUCAUCUAGCAGGAAAUUCUCGUUAAAGUAAACUCGGCCCCUCCACACACUCCCUUUUACUCUACUCUGGGCUACAUGGACUUGGGAGCUACCAUUUGUGCGAGCAUGAACCGUGCCUGGCAUGGCAAUGUUUCAAUCCAGACCAAGACAUUCAAGAUAUGAUAUUCUCGCCGUGUAAAAUGCGAGGAGAAUUUUAUGUUGUUACUCAACCGAAGCGUACUCGUAAGAAAAACUGGGGUUAAUUUGCUGUCAAUGGAGUUAUCGAGGAGGUUGAGAGGGCAAAUCCUCGACAGGCUUUGUAAUGGCAUUUCGAUGCAUGCGGACAAGGUUUCGACGAGGGGUUGAGGAAGAAGCCAUCACUUUUGGAAGAGCUAGCUAGGUGCGUGCUAGCAAUAUCAACUUCAUGAGCUUUCAUGGAAUGCCCUGUCAGUCGCUGCUUUUUUUGUCUUGAAAAUAAUUAACCACCUAAAUUACUGCUCUCGCAACUGUAGAAUUAAUCUUCACUUUUGCGUAGGACUUCUUUUCUUCCUGACGUGUAAACUAGUCGUAUCUAAAUUUAAAGAGUCAUUAAAACUCUACGUAACGUACCCCUCGCGCAGUCACUUAAUUUUGAAUUUAUAUAUAUCACCAAGAAAACAAUAUUGCAAACCCUAACUAUUAAACCAAUUGCGUUCCAACCAUGUUUUUAAAAUUUCUUGGAUUUGUUUAGUUUCAAAUUAAUUUUCUUUAUAUUUUUGAAUUGUAUGUUAAUAUCAAAAAUAAAUUUUAAAAUAUAAAAAAUAUUAUUUUAAUAUAUUUUAAAACUUUACUUUAAAAACCAAUUAUUAUUACAAUAACAAUCAUUUGUUGAAGAAAAUUACAUUUCAUUGCUCCGCCAAACCUACAUGUGCAGCAAGAGUGUUUUUUCUUCUUUUUUUUCUUAUCUCCAGGUAAAAAACAAUGCAUGCCCACGCACUACCGUGGCUACGGAAUGCCAUUAAUUACUGCUCUCCUGCCAUCAAUCUCCAAACAAAAAAGAAAGAAUAGGGAAAUGGAUUGUUAUAAUUAAACGUUUGUUAUGAAGAAAAAACUACAAACCUGCAAGGACUUGUGCGAUGGUUAUAGGUCAAUGAAAAUAGGGCCCAUAAUUAAGCCAUUAAUUAGUAAUCAUAAUGUAGGCGAGUUAAUUCUGUGGGAUCUUAUGAAAAUGAACUUCUUCCAUGAUCAUGUUACAGAAAGAAGAUAAUCAAACAAAAGGAUUCGGAUACGAGCAAAGAUCAUCUUCCAAUUUUAUUAGCAUAGUUUAUCAUGUUGCGUUUUGUUUUGAAAUAAUAAUAUUUAAUAAAUAUCAGCUUUUGAAACACGAUAUGUUCAAAUUAUGUUAUUUAUGGUCCAAUUGUGUUAAUAAAUAUCACGCUUCUGAAACACGACAUGAUCAAAUUAUGUUAUUUAUGGCUCAACCAGUCGACUGGUUCCGAAAAUAACAAGAAAAAUCUUAAAACUGUCAAAAUCGAGGGUCCUCAUUAAGAUUUCUGACAUCUAAAUAUUUGAAUGUCUGUGUAGGGACACAAUAACUAAUAUAGAGGAAAUGACAUCUAUAAGCUCCUAUAAACAUUUGAGCGCGAUCCAAUAGUCAUAUCAAAAGUUAUGAUUUUUUUGAGUUGUUAUUCUGGUCUGACGUGACCAAACCUCCUCUUGAGCCUAGACCUGUCACACUGGUCUAUAAAUACAUUUGCUAGGUUAUCUAUGUAAUCUGUUUGGGGGUAAAUUCAUAUUUAGUUAUGGCAGAUUCACACUUGACUAUUCAAAAUCACUCACUACUAUAUGAACAAUAACUUUUGAGAUUUUAAUUGGCAUCUAUUUUUGAGUUUACAAGUUAGAUAAAGAUAAUUUUAACUAAUAAAAUAUAUUUGGAAGAAAUACUUUAUAAAAUUAUAGUUUUUGUGUAAAAUUGUCUAUCGGUUAAUACAAUUGGAUUUAACCGGUCAACAUGUUAAGGUAGGAGAUUGGAGUUUAACAUGUCACACUUGGUUCAAAAUGUGUUAUAUCAUCAAAUCUUUUUUAAAAUGAUUUUAUUUUAUGGAAUUUUUAUUGUUAUUAUGCUAAUUUUAAAAAAAAAUCAUUUAUUUUCUUCGAAACUCUUAACCACUUUGGGCGACACACGUGAACCAAGUUUAAUGAUCCAUCUCACUCAACAGGCUUUUAGGACAUACCCAAAAAAGGGCGUUGUUCUGCGAGACCUGGUUACAGCGACGUUGCUGGAAAUCAUUACAAGUUCAGCUCUCGUUAUCAUCAGUUUAUCUGUAUGAUUUGCAUCUCUAAGUCCACUUAUAAGUGUUUAUUGUUCAAAUUCUUCGACAAGGUGGAAUAAUAUUUUUUUUAUUAUAGAGUAUUAUCAUGUAAGUUUAUAUAUUGAUCAAAAUUAAUUUUUUUAAUAACUUUGACAGCACAUCUUUUAUACUGACUUGAUGAAUUCAGAAAAAAAAUAUUAAUCUUUUUUAAAAAUACCAUUCACGAGAUUUGAAUCGAGAAAUCAAAUAAAGAAAACGUGCCUCUUUAAGAACCACACCAAACUCUUAACAUUACAGAUUGUCGAAGAUUAUUCUGCAUUCAAGUUGAUUCGAGGGCAGCUAUCACGGCGAGACAGCACAGCAUGGGCCACCACAAAACAGGCGGCGCACCUACAUAGCAUCUACAGUCGGUGGACUAUAGACAAAACUUCAGCGUAAAAUAUACAACUGCCAGUGCCAGUCCAGUGGCGAUGCUAUGAUUAAGGACCAGCACAUAUGAAGGAAGGCAGAGUCCGCUAAUCAUAAUCCUCCCCUGUUGCUUCUUUAGUAAGAAGGACUGUCAUUAUGCUCAUAUGCUGUGCAUUAUUCUUGCCUGGAGAAGUUAAGUGUUAGCUAGCUUGGCUCAAUGGGGUAAGAAGGGGCAAGAAAAAGUAAGAUGGAGGUUUUGUUGCAUCUUGAUCUGAUUAAAUCUUGAAGGACCAGGAGAAGUCUUCUAAAGAAAGUUGAGAGAUUUUGUCUUUUACGACGGUUACUUUUAAUUUUUUUUAGUGUUUUUAAAAUAUAUUUUAUUUGAAAAUAUAUUAAAUUAAUAUUUUGUUAGUAUUUUUUAAUAUUUUUAUGUGCUGCUAUAAAAUAAAUAAAAAAUUAUUAAUGUAUUUUAAGCAAAAAUUAAUUUUUUAAAAAACUUUGUACCACUAAUUGAAAAUUAAUAAUUAAUAAAAAAAUAAAAAAUUUUCAUUACGAAGUUUUUUUCUUUGUGAUUGGAUACGAGUUUAUUUGAAUCCAAUUAUAAAAGAAUGUACUAUGAGACAUAAAAAUUAAUUAAAAAAACACAUCAAGUAUUAAGAAAUAGAUAAUAUUGAUUGCUAAAAUCAACAAACUAAUCAUACAAGUGAUUGAGUAUAAUUUUUCCAACAUUUUUAUACGAAGGUUCCUCUUCAGCUUCAAUUUAAACCCUAUAGCACGAUGUGUGAUGAACCCAAAAAAACAUAAUGUAAUCAUAAUUUAUUUUAUUAAAAAUUAAAAUAACACUAAAAAACAUGGAUAAAUCACUGAAAAUCACACGGGUAUAUAAUAUUCAUUAUGGACAGUGAUUUAUUUUUUCACUUUAGUUAUUAAAAUUAACCAAAUUAAUGUUCAAUUUAAGUCAAUUUACUAAGAAAUGAUAGAAUUGAAGAUUAGAGAACCAAAGUAGAAAAAGUAAAGUAAAAGAAAGCAGUUUUAAAAAUUUGUGUGAAAAAUUCACCUUCACCGUCCUUUUUUUUAGGUCCCUCAAUAUUUCAAGAAUUCAAAUUUGAUGUAAAUUUUUUUCUUUAUUUUUAAUUUUUGAGUUGAGAGAUAAGAGAGAAAAAUCACUGAAUUUUAAUAAUAAAAAAAAAAGUUUUGGUUGAUAAUGAUUCCAGCCAUUAAGAAUGUCGUUCUUGAUACUUAUAAAUUUCUUUAAAUAAAUAAAAAAAUUUAAUUUUCACGUUGUUUCACCUUAUAAUUGCAUGAAAAGAUAUAUUUGAUUUUAGAAAGUUUCUAGAUUACGUUCUUGAUGCUUAUAAGUUUCUUUAAAUAAAUAAAAAAACUUAAUUUUUACGUUGUUUCACCUUAUAAUUGCUUUCCAGGUUGUUUUUCGGUAAAAAAAAAAUGCAUUUUUGGAUUGAAAAAAACCCUACCCUUUUUUUCAACAAACCUUAGAUUGCCGAAUACUAGAGAUGCAAGCAAUGUAUAGUCUGUGUUACUUGACAAAAAAAUUUGGCUGGGUGGACGAAAGAAAUUAAAUUGGGGAGGCCAUAAACUAGAGAAAUCAAAGCCAGGAGAAUAAAGAAUAUUUGCCGAGCUAAUUUUGUAAAAUUGAUCCACUUACUAAAAAAAUCAUUUAUUUAAACAUCCGAAACUUUGAUAUUAAUCCUACCAUUCUCAGAUUUGAAAUGACAGAUUAUUAAUCAGCGAGGAUCUAAAAUAAAAGGAUAUUAUGUCACAUUCGAGUCAUCCCAGCCCUCUCCCCUUCUAAAACCAGUGAUUGACAAAUCCAUCACCGUUUUAAGGACAAAAUAAAAUCAUUCCAACAAACAAACAUAUUGAUGAUCAAGAUUUUUUUAAUCAUAUAUUAAAGGUCCACUCUACCAUCCUGUCUUUCACCCCUCCCUCUAAGAGGGCACCCCCCCCUACGCUAAUAAAAGCCCAAAAUCAUCAUUAACACUAACACAAAACCAAGGCACUAAACAACAACCCAAAAAAAAAACCACCAAGCUGGCCAUCAACGUGUCACCCAGAUCUCAUAUCCAAAUCACAUGCAUGUUGGUCCCACACAUCAAACUCCUUAAUCAGACGCCUCAGAUCUGUUUGGUACCCAAUUGGGCCCACUGAUCCCUCUCAAAAUUCCGAACCUUCCUAGCGCUCUCUAUUUAUCACCCUCCCUUCCAUUCUCAACUUCCUCACUGGUCAGUACUCCAAGCCUCUACACACAAAAUAGCCCGGGGAGAGAGAGACUCGGAACUAGACAAAAAUGGUGCGUAGAAACGCUGUGAUCUUUCUUUCUUUGAUCUGCAUUGUUAUUGGUGGUGUUAGUGGUCAAGCACCAGCAACAUCACCAACAGCAACACCAGCACCACCUACGGCAACAACACCAACAACGUCUCCUCCACCAGCAACCUCCACUCCUCCACCAGUGUCAGCCCCACCUCCAGUCACCCAAUCCCCACCUCCAGCUACACCUCCUCCGGUCUCAGCCCCACCACCAGCCUCCCCUCCUCCAGCCACACCACCCCCAGCAACACCUCCUCCCGCCACACCUCCACCAGCAACACCUCCUCCAGCCACACCGCCACCUGCUACUCCACCACCAGCAACCCCUCCUCCAGCUGUUCCUCCACCAGCUCCCUUGGCUUCUCCGCCAGCUCUUGUUCCAGCUCCAGCUCCAGCUCCCAGCAAGUCUAAGCUGAAGGCUCCAGCUCCAUCUCCCCUGGCAUCGAGUCCUCCAGCUCCACCAACCGGUGCUCCUGCUCCAAGUUUGGGUGCUUCUUCUC
rnacentral:lncRNA from 1 species